rnacentral:rRNA from 1 species
UACGUAGGGUGCAAGCGUUGUCCGGAAUUAUUGGGCGUAAAGAGCUCGUAGGCGGUUCGUCGCGUCGGCUGUGAAAUCCCGAGGCUCAACCUCGGGUCUGCAGUCGAUACGGGCGGACUGGAGUACUGCAGGGGAGACUGGAAUUCCUGGUGUAGCGGUGAAAUGCGCAGAUAUCAGGAGGAACACCGGUGUCGAAGGCGGGUCUCUGGGCAGUUACUGACGCUGAGGAGCGAAAGCGUGGGGAGCGAACAGG